AUACACUUUCUCAGCUGAGGGUUUCAUACCAGCGUUUAGGCUCCUGGAAAUUCUCCUGGCUUGCUUGCAACUGCUAAUUACUGAGGGAAUUGAUAGGCAUAUCUUGCUACCCUGGAAUUGUUGGACUUCCAGCUAAGGGUUAUACUUGCUUCUAUUUGAGGUGGCAACCGCCCAGUUUUCUGUGAGGACAAGAGAUCACAUUGCUGCCCCUCGGUUGUCAUCGUUUUUUUCCAGCACCUACAUCUUGGCAACUCCGUUCUGUCAAA